rnacentral:rRNA from 1 species
UACGAAGGGGGCGAGCGUUGUUCGGAAUCACUGGGCGUAAAGGGCGCGUAGGCGGCCCUCCUUGUCGCGUGAAAGCCCCGGGCUCAACCUGGGAACGGCGCGCGAGACGGGGGGGCUGGAGUUCGGGAGAGGAGCGUGGAAUUCCCAGUGUAGAGGUGAAAUUCGUAGAUAUUGGGAAGAACACCGGUGGCGAAGGCGGCGCUCUGGACCGAGACUGACGCUGAGGCGCGAAAGCGUGGGGAGCAAACAGG